rnacentral:rRNA from 1 species
CCUACGGGUGGCAGCAGUGGGGAAUAUUUCACAAUGGGGGAAACCCUGAUGCUGCGACGCCGCGUGAGCGAAUAAGGAUUUCGGUAUGUAAAGCUCUAUCAGCGGGGAAGCAAAUGACGGUACCUGAGUAAGAAGCUCCGGCUAAAUACGUGCCAGCGGCCGCGGUAAUACGUAUGGAGCAAGCGUUAUCCGGAUUUACUGGGUGUAAAGGGAGCGCAGGCGGCCUUGAAAGCCAGGAGUGAAAGCCCGGGGCCCAACCCCGGGACUGCUCUUGGAACUGCGUGGCUGGAGUGAAGGAGGGGCAGGCGGAAUUCCUGGUGUAGCAGUGAAAUGCGUAGAUAUCAGGAGGAACACCGGUGGCGAAGGCGGCCUGCUGGACUGCAACUGACGUUGAGGCCCGAAAGCGUGGGGAGCAAACAGGAUUAGAUACCCUUGUAGUC